AGCAAACAGGAGUAGAUACCCUGGUAGUCCACGCUGUAAACGAUGAGUACUAGGUGUCGGGGGUUACCCCCUUCGGUGCCGCAGCUAACGCAUUAAGUACUCCGCCUGGGAAGUACGCUCGCAAGAGGGAAACUCAAAGGAAUUGACGGGGACCCGCACAAGUAGCGGAGCAUGUGGUGUAAUUCGAAGCAACGCGAAGAACCUUACCUAAGCUUGACAUCCCAAUGACAUCUCCUUAAUCGGAGAGUUCCCUUCGGGGACAUUGGUGACAGGUGGUGCAUGGUUGUCGUCAGCUCGUGUCGUGAGAUGUUGGGUUAAGUCCCGCAACGAGCGCAACCCUUGUCUUUAGUUGCCAUCAUUAAGUUGGGCACUCUAGAGA
rnacentral:rRNA from 1 species